GACGAACGCUGGCGGCGUGCUUAACACAUGCAAGUCGAACGGAAAGGCCCUGCUUUUGUGGGGUGCUCGAGUGGCGAACGGGUGAGUAACACGUGAGUAACCUGCCCUUGACUUUGGGAUAACUUCAGGAAACCGGGGCUAAUACCGGAUAGGAGCUCCUGCUGCAUGGUGGGGGUUGGAAAGUUUCGGCGGUUGGGGAUGGACUCGCGGCUUAUCAGCUUGUUGGUGGGGUAGUGGCUUACCAAGGCUUUGACGGGUAGCCGGCCUGAGAGGGUGACCGGCCACAUUGGGACUGAGAUACGGCCCAGACCCCUACGGGAGGCAGCAGUGGGGAAUAUUGCACAAUGGGCGGAAGCCUGAUGCAGCAACGCCGCGUGCGGGAUGACGGCCUUCGGGUUGUAAACCGCUUUCGCCUGUGACGAAGCGUGAGUGACGGUAAUGGGUAAAGAAGCACCGGCUAACUACGUG
rnacentral:rRNA from 1 species